GUUGAACGCUGGCGGCAGGCCUAACACAUGCAAGUCGAGCGAGCGGCGGACGGGUGAGUAAUGUAUGGGGACUGCCCGAUAGAGGGGGAUAACUACUGGAAACGGUGGCUUAUACCGCAUACUGUCGGAUAACCCAUAUGGGAUUAGCUAGUGGGUAAGGUAAUGGCUUACCUAGGCGACGAUCCCUAGAUGGUCUGAGAGGAUGAUCAGCCACACUGGGACUGAGACACGGGCCAGACGCCUACGGAGGCAGCAGUGGGGAAUAUUGCACAAUGGGACCAAGCAAGAUGGAGUCAGGCCGCGUGGGGGAUGAAGGGUUGCGGGUUGUAAUCCUAUUUCGCUAUCGAACGGGUAGGUGGAGAAGAAGCGCCGGCUAACUACGUGCCAGCAGCCGCGGUAAUUC
rnacentral:rRNA from 1 species